UACAGUUGGAUUUUUAUACCAGCUCUGUUAUCCCCAGCUGGGGAUGAAAUCCAUUGCGAAGGGGAUGAAGUGGAGGUGGCUGUACACACACACACACACAAUUUGUUACAAACUGUUUAUCCAAUUGACAGGAAACUUAGCAUCAACAUUAUAGAGUAUACAUUAAUGAUAAUAUACAAGAUUGUGAAUGUCACACAGUUUUACAUACAUCUGGAUAAUCCCUCAUCAGACUGUGAUUAAACAUUUCAUUGCUAAUUCUUAUUCUAUCCUGUACAUACUGUUGAUAUGUCAUGUUCAUCGUUUAGAGUUUACGUGGCAGGAGAUGUAUAUGUAUACAUAAGCAAAGGCAAAUUGUAAGCAUGGCAAAUUCUUUGUUGAGAUUUAGUAAUGUCUUUCUCAAAGAGACCCAAGUGUAAAUGUUUGUCGUAAGCACCAUGGAUAAUAGCAUUUACAUAAUGUCCCGUGACAAGAAAUUACAUCUAAAAUACAAAUGUAUUUUUUUCAGAUUUGUAAAAAAAGACCUGCUUCUCCUGGUGUUGUAUCCUUGCUGGACGGAGAUGGUGAAGAUGCUGGAGGCGGCCAAGCCAGCACAGUAUGGGGUAGAUUUGACAAGGGACAAGAAAAGAAGGCCACCUCCCCUCCAGACAUUCCGAUCAGAGAAAAGAGACAAUUCGAAGCCAACCCAAAGAGACGUCCAAGACCUUGUCUGGGCUGCCUAUCUGUAAUAUCAGCUAAAAAGGAGGCUCCUGUAACAGUAAGUUAUCUUUCCUGUAGCCAUUCCCUAGACUGCAGUGUUAUGUGGCACUUCAUUACCAAAUCAAUCAGAAAACAUGUCACCUUCAGUUAGUCCAUUUUUUUUAUUUGUUUUUUAAAAAUCAAUUAAAAGAUAUUUAAACUUG